rnacentral:lncRNA from 1 species
UGACGAACUUGUGUCCUGCGUCAACAGUGUGUGGAACGUUGGCGACUUCGGCGCUCGAGCUGCACUCGGCUGGGCUCUUGGCAGCACCCUGUGCUCUGAGGGUGUCUUGCCCGCCGGGCGCCGUGGCUCACGCCUGUAAUCCCAACACUUUGGGAGGCUGAGGCGGGCGGAUCACUUGAGGUCAAGAGUUCAAGACCAGCCUGGCCAACAUGAUUCUACUCUAAAAGUCACCAGGAAAAAUUCAGCUCCACUGGUCCUGGCUCUAAGUCUACUAGCAAAAUCUUCCAGAGAAGUGGAAAAGCCAUCAGCCAAUGUGUUAGACUAUCAUUUCCAUGACCUUACACCUAUCAAAAAGGCACUAUUACCAGGCUUAUAGAAUUCUAAAAAAGUUGGAAACCAUUUUCCAUUAUAAAAGAAAUUCUUCCAAAUCACACAAAACACUCUGACGCUUCUCCAAUUCCCCCUUUCAAUGUUCCGCAAAUGUGCUGGUUUGAAGGAAAAAAAAUUCAAUGUGGCACAUGUUUAAAAAUAUAAUGAAGACAUAGACAUUAUCAAAUACAACUGAUAGCACUAACCUUCCCUUUGAACCGUCCCUAAACAUCCACACUCACAUGUCCUUUAAAUACAAACCACUUUUCUCCAGGCUUCCUAACUUGGUAAAUCCAGGUACCUUCCCAGGUCGUUCAGAGAAUUGGGAGCCUCGUUCCACAUCACUUUUCCCCAGCCCAGCAGCACAAAACCAAUCAGCUGACAAAUUCAUUUCCACCUCUCAAGGCCUCUCAUAUUAAUCCCUCCUUUCCACACAUAUACUGCCCUAGCUCAGACCCUCUCAUACUUCUUAAACUGACACAGACAACCUCACUUGGAGGCUAACUGGUCUCCUUAUCUUUAAUCCCAAAAUACACCUAUUUACCACACAGAUCCAAAACCUCGUAACUCCUUUCUCAAAAUCCUGUAAUGCCCUGUCAAUUGCAUUCAGAAGAAAACCACCUUUUCAUCCUUUCUCCCUUUAAGAGCACAUUGGUAAGAGUGUAAAUCCCAGUUCUACCACUUAGUAGGUUUAUUUCAUUUGUAACCUCUAUCUCAUUUGUAAAAAAAAAGAAUCAUAGUACUCUCUUCUCAAUAAAACUGUUCUAAGGAAAUAAUUAAUACUAAUAAAGCACUGAGAACAAUGCCUAGCACAUAGAAAAUGCCCAAAAAAGGUUAUUAUUGUUAUCCAAACCCUAUCCUGCCUCACCCUACAGACUACUUGUACUUUUAUAAGUAUUUAUUCUACAGAUUUAUUGAGUCCUUAUGACUAGGAGAUGAAGAUACAAAUAUCCAUUAAAAAAUGUUCCGCAUUAUCUAGCCUUCCUGCCUGUGCCUGUGUGGUUUCUCCUUGCCCUGAAUGCUCCUUUCUACCUACAGAUAUCCUACUCAACCCCAAGGUCCAAACGAAGACUGACAUGUCUCUCAGAGAUGAGGCUUUGAUUUUGCCAUGUCCUCCCAUUGGAUGUCAUCUUCCCAUCAGUCAAUCAACGAUGGUACUCUCUUUUCCACAUUACUGAGUCAUGAGUCUUUCUUAAAUUCUAAUUUCUUAUGCAGACAGUACAUCAACUCCACACAAUUGUGAGAUCCCUAGAUGGAAAAGAAUGUAUCAUUUCCAUCUCUCCAGCACCUUCAAAAAGUAUCACAUACAUCACAAGGGAGGUCAGUGUAUGUUAACUGAAUCACUUCUGUUUGAAAACAUUUAUUCUGCAAGUAGAAACUAAAAUUAAGUUAACCAUGGAAAGAACUAAUGUUUAACCAAACUUCUUUAAAAAAUGUUAACUUUUUG